GGGGUUGUAGAUCAGUGUUAGAUCACUUGCCUAGCAUGUAUGAGGCCCUGGGUUCAAUUCCCCAGCACCA
rfam:Ictidomys tridecemlineatus contig035569, whole genome shotgun sequence.